rnacentral:rRNA from 1 species
UACAGAGGGUGCGAGCGUUAAUCGGAGUUACUGGGCGUAAAGGGCGCGUAGGCGGUGAGAUGUGUGUGAUGUGAAAGCCCCGGGCUUAACCUGGGAAGUGCAUCGCAAACUAUCUGACUGGAGUAUAUGAGAGGGUGGCGGAAUUUCCGGUGUAGCGGUGAAAUGCGUAGAGAUCGGAAGGAACACCAACGGCGAAGGCACUCUGCUGGGCCGACACUGACACUGAGAGACGAAAGCUAGGGGAGCAAAUGGG